CCUACGGGAGGCAGCAGUGAGGAAUAUUGGUCAAUGGACGAGAGUCUGAACCAGCCAAGUAGCGUGAAGGAUGACUGCCCUAUGGGUUGUAAACUUCUUUUAUAUGGGAAUAAAACGUUCCACGUGUGGGAUUUUGUAUGUACCAUAUGAAUAAGGAUCGGCUAACUCCGUGCCAGCAGCCGCGGUAAUACGGAGGAUCCGAGCGUUAUCCGGAUUUAUUGGGUUUAAAGGGUGCGUAGGUGGAUGGUUAAGUCAGUUGUGAAAGUUUGCGGCUCAACCGUAAAAUUGCAGUUGAAACUGGCAGUCUUGAGUACAGUAGAGGUGGGCGGAAUUCGUGGUGUAGCGGUGAAAUGCUUAGAUAUCACGAAGAACUCCGAUUGCGAAGGCAGUUCACUGGACUGCAACUGACACUGAGGCUCGAAAGUGUGGGUAUCAAACAGGAUUAGAUACCCGGGUAGUC
rnacentral:rRNA from 1 species